rnacentral:rRNA from 1 species
AUGGCAGGCACGGGUUUGCCGGACCUGCAGCUGCGGCUGAUGAUGACGGCAGAGGAGACCUGCUGGUGCUGCUCACCAGCGAGAGGACGACGAGGGAGGAGCAAGACGGCGGCAAACUCGGAGCUCGGGGAUGAGGCGCCGAGGACGAGGCUGGGAAGCAGCGGACUGGUGGCUCUCCAGCGAACUUGGCCGCAUGGACGCGCGGGGUCUCCGAGAUCGGGUGCGCGAGGGAAACAACCAGCAGGGUCGAGGAGGUGGGCGCGCAAGGGCGAGCAGGUGGCUGGUGAUGGAGAGCAUCUUAGGCUCAGCAAGGCGCUGCAGCAACGAGCCUGGCUCGGAGGAGGACCUCGCCGUGAAGACCCCAGGGAAGCAGGGAGCGGGGCAACGACGAUGGUGCUCGACUCCUACUGGUGCUCCUCCGAUGAGGAGAGUUGGCGGCGGGGACGACCGGAUCUGGGAGCGGGCGCAGGCGUCGAGCAGAGGAGGGGGUGGUUGAGGCGGACCGGCCGGCGGAGGCGUGCGAGGCUGGUGGCUGUGGGCCACGAAGCAACCGAGGCGCGGGCGCCAGGCCAUGGCGACGGGAGAGACAUGAGGGGAUCGAGCGUGCGCGUGCGGUACUUGUGGGUGGCGGCGCGAGGGGAGAAGAAAAAUGGAAGUGGCAAGAUUGCAGGAAUUAAAUUCAAACUAAUUUGA